GUGUAGCGGUGGAAUGCGCAGAUAUCAGGAGGAACACCGAUGGCGAAGGCAGGUCUCUGGGCUGUAACUGACGCUGAGGAGCGAAAGCAUGGGGAGCGAACAGGAUUAGAUACCCUGGUAGUCCAUGCCGUAAACGUUGGGCACUAGGUGUGGGGACCAUUCCACGGUUUCCGCGCCGCAGCUAACGCAUUAAGUGCCCCGCCUGGGGAGUACGGCCGCAAGGCUAAAACUCAAAGGAAUUGACGGGGGCCCGCACAAGCGGCGGAGCAUGCGGAUUAAUUCGAUGCAACGCGAAGAACCUUACCAAGGCUUGACAUGUUCUCGAUCGCCGUAGA
rnacentral:rRNA from 1 species